rnacentral:rRNA from 1 species
UACGUAGGGAGCAAGCGUUGUUCGGAUUUACUGGGCGUAAAGGGUGCGUAGGCGGGUUUUUAAGUCAGAGGUGAAAUCCUGGAGCUCAACUCCAGAACUGCCUUUGAUACUGAAAGUCUUGAGUAUGGGAGAGGUGAGUGGAACUGCGAGUGUAGAGGUGAAAUUCGUAGAUAUUCGCAAGAACACCAGUGGCGAAGGCGGCUCACUGGCCCAUAACUGACGCUGAGGCACGAAAGCGUGGGGAGCAAACAGG